GCGGCCGGGGCUGCCGGGUGCUCCGGAAGCGCUUGUGGUUCGGGGCGGGCCAGGGUCGGAACAUGGCGUGGAGCUGCUGGGCCCGGCUCUGCAGCCGAGAGGCGCUGAGCGGCCGCCGCUCCCGGGGCCACAGGUUUACUUUAUAUACACAGCAGAGAAAUGGAUUCAAAAGAGUGCCACAAAAGACUGAACCUCGAAAACCAGACCAAGAAACUGGCUCCAAACCAUACAAAAGCAGUCUGUCUCCUCCAGUACAGGAAACAAUCUUUUAUACUUCCUCCCCUUCGCUGAAGCAUCUUGUGAAGCCAUUCUUUUUCACAAUUGGGUUUACAGGCUGUGCAUUUGGAUCAGCUGCUAUUUGGCAGUAUGAAUACCUAAAAUCCCGGGUCCAGAACUAUUUUGAUGAGGCUCGAGCAGAUUGGAUGGAUAAGUUACGACCUCAGAAAAGUGGGGACUUCAGAAAGCAGGUUAACAUGUGGUGGAAUAGCCUGAGUGAGGGUCAGCGGACUGUGACAGGUAUCAUAGCUGCAAAUGUCUUUGUGUUCUGUUUAUGGAGAAUCCCUUCUAUGCAGCGGACAAUGAUAACUUACUUCACAUCUAAUCCAGCCUCUAGAGUCCUUUGCUCUCCCAUGCUGCUCUCUACAUUUAGUCAUUUCUCUUUGUUCCACAUGGCUGCAAAUAUGUAUGUGUUGUGGAGUUUUUCUUCAAGUAUAGUUUCUCUUUUGGGACGUGAGCAGUUCAUAGCAGUGUACCUUUCUGCAGGUGUUAUCUCCACAUUUGUCAGUUACAUCAGUAAAGUAACUACUGGAAGAUUUGGACCAUCACUUGGAGCUUCAGGAGCUAUAAUGACUAUCCUUGCAGCAGUAUGUACGAAGAUGCCAGAAGCAAAACUAGCCAUCAUACUUCUUCCAAUGUUCACAUUUACAGCAGGAAAUGUAAGUGCCUUUGAAUAUCAGAAGAAAUUAUAUACUUCAAAUAUUUUCCUUUCCCUACACUCCAACAGUAUCUGAAUGUCUCCUUUUAAUAUGAGUAUACAAACAAUAUCUAAUUUUUAUUUAAAUACAUGGUCGUGGCUUGAAGUCUUAGGGCCUGAUUUGCUGUUGCUCUGAACUUUAUGUAGUCAUUUACACCAAUGCAAAGUGGGCAUAAAAUGUUGUCAUUCUCAUUUGGUAGAGUUCUGCACUGACUCUAUUCUCGUGUAUAAUGACUAGACAAGAUGCAGAGCAAUCAAGGAUCUGGCUUGUUUUCAAUUGCUUGUCUCUUGGUUGUUUUUUUUUUAAAUUGUAUAGAGCUAGAUUCCUUCCUGGAGGUGUAUUUCACACCAAAUUCUUAAAGCUGCAGAAAAUGGGGAUAGGGAAAGGGAACCCGAUGCCUGUGAGAAAGUAUAACAAAAUUGUGUACAUGCACUGUGGGAACCUAUUGUCAUUCAAAGUGUGCCACAUAGUGUAUGGCUAUAUUUGUUAGGGAUAAACUGCAGGACCUAGUUACUUAUUUCAGGCAACUUUUAAAUGAACUGUGUGAAAAAUAACUUGGGGGCGAAUAAGAAAGAGAGGAAAUCUGCAGAGGCAGAUUUGAGAAUUUAAUUUUCCAGAAAAAAUCAUUUCUAAUCACGUUGCUGUAGAUGCUUGUCUCCUGCUUUAGACGCUUCCUGCUGCUGCUUCUAAGAACAUAAGUUUUAGGAACAGGAAUAAAUCCCUGGGGCUUUUGUGGCACAUUCUUAAUAUUUUCAUUCUUUGUUUCCUUUCCCUGCUUUUAAAAAAUAUAUAUAUUUUAGAAACUCAUUCAUAUAUCUUGACUCCUGAGUUAAGAUGCAUAGUCAUCUUUUUUGUAUGCUACUGAACACUGUUUUAGAAUGAUAGCUUAAUUGCUGUAUUUAAACCCAUUUUAAGACAACUGGGUUUAAAAUAUGCACUGUAAGGGAAUGAGUUUACUGAGAUGUCUAUCAGUUUUAAAUUUCAAAGCAUUUUUUAGGCCUUGUCUAUACUGGCAAGUUUCUGUGCAGUAAAGCAGCUUUCUGCGUCGUAACUCCCGAGGUGCACACAAUGCCAGGCCACUUAGUGCACAGAAACCGUGCAUUUGCAGUGCUGUAAAAAAAACCACCCUGACGAGAGGCAUGCAGCUUUCUGCGCUGGGGCUACAGCAUCAUGGUGCUCGUGUAGACACCCUGGUCGAUUACAGCGCUGUGAUUGGCGUCCAGGAGGUGUCCCACAAUGCCUGUUUUCACCUCUCUGGUCAUUGGUUUGAACUCUUCUAGCCUGCCCUCAGGUGACCAACCGUCAUCCCCACCCUUUAAAUUCCUUGGGAAUUUUGAAAGUCCCUUUCCUGUUUGCUCGGUGAUGCGCGCAGUGGUCUCAGUGCAUCUUUCCAGGUGACCAUGCCUGCUCCAUGCACCAGGUGAUCCCCGACUUGGAGCAAUGAUGAGCUGCUGGACCUCAUCAGCAUUUGAGGAGAGGACGCUGCACAGUCCCAGCUGCGCUCCAGCCAUGGGAAUUAUAAUACCUAUGGACAGAUUUCACAAUGCAUGACAGAAAGGGGCCAUGAUUGGGACACACUGCAGUGUAGGGUCAAAGCGAAGGAGCUGUGGAACACCUACCACAAGGCGCGGGAGGCAAACUGCUGCUCCAGUGCUGCGCCCACAAGCUGCCGGUUCUAUAAAGAGCUGGACACAAUACUCAGGGGCGACCCCUCCUCCACUGCAAAGGCCGCUGUGGAUACUUCGGUGGCUCACAUGCCAGUUGGAGUGGACCAAGACAGGAGGAGGAAAUCUUGAACGAGGAUGUGGAGGGGAAGAGGGACCCAAAGGCAGAGGACACCUUGGAGGUCAGAGAUGCAUGCAGCCAGGAGCUCUUCUCUACCCUGGAGGAGGCUAGCCAGUCACAGCUGUUGGAGCUUGGUGAAGUGCAAACAGGAGAGGAGGCCCCUGAUAUGACUUUGGGAGCCCAGCCUCCCUCUCUAUUAUCUCCAGCUGAACGGCUGCACAGAAUUAGAAAGAACUAAAGAGGACUUUCUGUAUGAUGUCAUGAUGCACUCCGUGGCUGAAAAACACGAAUUGAAGGAGUGGCGGGAUGGCAAGAAGAGAGACCGAAAGAAGAACGCGGCAUGCCAGAACAAAGCCACGGAGUGGCUCUCAAACGUUAUGGAGCACCAGGCAGACAUGCUCCAGGUGCUACUAGCACUGCAAACCAAGCAGCUCCUCACUCGCCCUCCCCAGCAGCCGCUGUCACAAAACUCUUUCCCAUGCGCCCCCCCUGCCCCAGACACCGCCAACACACUCUUAUCAGCCUCCUGGCUCCAGUCUGUACACACUACAUUCCACUCCUCCCCCGUCACAGUCCAGCACUAUGGACUCCCAGUACCCACUGCACUCAACACCCAUCCCUCUGCAGUUUGGCCCUGCUGAAGUACAGCACCCACUGCACUGUACUCCAAAGGAGAAGGUUGGAAAUGAUACCUGGACAUACACAAAUCUUUUAACCGUUCCAGGACCCCACCUUCUCCUGGGAUCCUCCCUUCCCCCAUCCCCUUCAGUGCUGAUUGGGGGGGGGGAGGGGGGGUUGUCUCUCUCUCUCCUCCGGUUGUUGUUUUUUAAUAAAAGAAUUGUUUUGGUUUG